GAACACCCUUCCCCACCUUUAACAUGUAAGGAAUUUACCAGAGAGGGGGUGGUCCUCGAAGGAGACCCGUACCACAGGUGCAGCAUGGUUGUCAUCUCCUGGUGUGGGGAGAUGUGGGGUUAAGUCCAGCAAGGACAACACCCCUUGUCAUUAGUUACUACAUUCAGUUGGGCACUCUAAUGAGACUGCCGGUGACAAACCGGAGGAAGGUGGGGAUGACGUCAAGUCCUCAUGGCCCUUAUGGGUAGGGCUACACACGUCAUACAAUGGCCGGUACAAAGGGUUGCAAACCCGCGAGGUGGAGCCAAUCCCACAAAGCCGGUCGUAGUCCGGAUUGCAGUCUGCAACUCGACUCCAUGAAGUCGGAAUCGGUAGUA
rnacentral:rRNA from 1 species